GUGAAUCAUCAAAUUUUUGGACGCAAAUUGCACUCUCUUCGGAGAGUAUGCCUGUUUGAGGGUCAGCCUAAAAAAAAUCGACAAAGUUGCUGUUAGGCGGUAACAUUCGUGGGAAAUUGGGUCAUCUUAAACCUUUGGGUUUAAGCGGCUUAAAAUUUUCUUUACGAUUCCAAGACCGUUUCUACGAUUUUAUCUUCUUAUCCGUUUAAGGUAUCGAUUUUUAUUAGACGUGGCCGUUUCAUGGGAUCAC
rnacentral:misc_RNA from 1 species